AAAGAUUUUCUCCCCAGCUUUACUUCUUCUCUCACUUAGCGCUGCCUUGCUUUCUUGGGGCUACAACUCCAUCGGCCACCCUGGCUGGGAAUUGCAGUUGCCAGCUUGUUCUAUCUGAAGGAGCAGGUUGGAGAAAGCUGGACUAGGAGAUGAUAUUUUACAAAUAAACUCUGUGCUUUUGGGGGAUACAGUUAUAAUAGCUGUCUGCAGCAAGCUGAGGUCACAUCAGAAUGAUUACAUGUGUGUGGUGACAUCAUAAUGCAUAUCCCACCCUGAAGGACUCACAUCUGACAAAACUAUAUUAUUUCCCCAAGUUUGGACCACAGAUGAUCAUUGCAAUCUAUGGAAGAACACCUCAAAGAAGGUUCUCAAAAGUUUUGCUGUUGUGUCACUACAAACCUACUCAUCUAAUUUCCAGUGUAAGAAAUGUAUCUCACGGAUGACUAAUAACAUUGAGGAUUCCAUGCAGUCAAAGCAAAAAAGAGGGUAGAUCAAAUGAUUCUUUUCUUAAGUCUCAUAUGUUGAUUUCUCUCUCCCUCUUUCAAUUUAACCGAUCUCAAAAUAAAGUGAAAAAAUACUUAAAGUUUAACUUAAAUAUUGAGAAUCAUAAUCAGCUUUUGAGGGGAAACUCAACAAUUCUUGGGUGCAAUAGGUUGCAUAC